ensembl:lncRNA novel transcript
CAUGGCCCCCUCAGAGCUGGCAAAACCCCAAGAAGGGGCAGGAAGGCCCCGUCCCAGAGGCUGCCAUUCUACUAGCAUAGCCGUGGCCUGUGUGCCUGCUCAGGGCAAUGCUGAGAUCUUUAAUUUUUCUUCACAGAGAUUAAUCCCCAGAGGAAGCAGCUUGCCAGUGAAUGACAGCUUUUGUUUGCUCAUGUUUUCCUCUCCUCCCAGAGUCAACUUUCAGAAUAUACCAGGAUGUUCCCUCUCACUUGACUUUCUUUUCUUUUCUUUUCUUUUCUUUUUUUUUACUGGAGGAGAGGGGAGGCUCCACAGCAUAUUAUCCAAAGGCGAGGCAGAUGGUUCUUUGUCCAAUAGUGAGAGAGGGGAGAGAGGGGCCAUUGGUCUUCUCUUUUUGUGUUUUACGUUUUUACUUCUCAUGUUGAGAUGUUGUAACGGCACUUCAUACCUCCUCGGCCGCUGUUGUCUUCACAAUGCACAGAACAUGUUCCAUGUCAUGUCAUCUUGCUCUUCCCACACAACUCUUCUGUGGGGCAAUACUGGUUUUGGAAUUGCCAUUUUAGAAGUGAGCAAACAAGACUCAGAUCAAGUGACCCAGCUCAAGUCUCAUGGGCAGGAAGUGGACAAACCAAGGUCUGAACCAAACAGCUCCAGCCUGAAUGAGAAGCACGUCCUCCUGGGAGUUACGUCAGCAGCCUGACCUUCCAUCUUCCUCCUCUAAAGAAGCGUCCCUGCCACCCUGAGCACGAAGCCCUCGGGUUCCUAAAGGCCGAGGCGCUUCUUCUCAUUUACUUCCCUUGAGGAAGAAAGACCAGCCCAUCCACCCUCAUUUCCCACCGAAGGGCAUCGCAAAUAAAGUUUGCCCACGCAACCAGGCCACCACCAUUAAUUUCUCUCUGCCCUGCUCUUACAUUCUCCUCAAGGUUUUCAGUCCCCUAGAGAGGCUCCCUUCCCUCUUUUCUUUCCUUCCUCCAGCCCCCCUUUUCACCUCCCUCCACCAUUGUUUGAGGUUAAGAAGCAUGCUACGGUGUUCUAUAAAUCACUUGGCAAGAGUAGACGACAAAAGCAAAAUAUAAUUCAGAUUAAAGUCAUCCUCCCGCUGAAAUGAUAGUUUCUUAAAUAAAUGGCGAUGCUGCCUAUCAAUCUUGCUGGCAACUGGUCCUCUCAUAUUCAUCUUUCUGGGGGUGAUUUAGGAUCCACCUGGGUCCUCCGAGAAGAUUCUCCCAUCAUUUCCUUCCCGUCUCUCUGGAUCUUGCUGCUGGGCUUGGCGCAGUUGACAAAUUCUCCAAGUAAUCCCUCAAAAGAUUGGAGAAAUGCUCCGAACGCUCCAUUAAACUUAUUUUCCAUGCUUUAAGAGACCCAAAACUAUGUCCAAUAAAUAAGUGUUCCCUGUGA